rnacentral:tRNA from 1 species
AAGAAGUUAGUUUAAUAAAAACAAUUAUUUGUCAAAUAAAAAAAAUAUAAUAUAUACAUCUUG